rnacentral:rRNA from 1 species
UGGGGGAUAUUGCACAAUGGGCGAAAGCCUGAUGCAGCGACGCCGCGUGAGGGAAGACGGUCUUCGGAUUGUAAACCUCUGUCUUUGGGGAAGAAAAUGACGGUACCCAAAGAGGAAGCUCCGGCUAACUACGUGCCAGCAGCCGCGGUAAUACGUAGGGAGCAAGCGUUGUCCGGAAUUACUGGGUGUAAAGGGAGCGUAGGCGGGAUGGCAAGUAGAAUGUUAAAUCCAUCGGCUCAACCGGUGGCUGCGUUCUAAACUGCCGUUCUUGAGUGAAGUAGAGGCAGGCGGAAUUCCUAGUGUAGCGGUGAAAUGCGUAGAUAUUAGGAGGAACACCAGUGGCGAAGGCGGCCUGCUGGGCUUUAACUGACGCUGAGGCUCGAAAGCGUGGGGAGCAAACA